rnacentral:rRNA from 1 species
AGAGUUUGAUCAUGGCUCAGAGCGAACGCUGGCGGCAGGCCUAAUACAUGCAAGUCGAGCGCACCUUCGGGUGAGCGGCGGACGGGUGAGUAACGCGUGGGAAUGUGCCCUUUGGUACGGAACAACUGAGGGAAACUUCAGCUAAUACCGUAUGUGCCCUUCGGGGGAAAGAUUUAUCGCCAUUGGAGCAGCCCGCGUUGGAUUAGGUAGUUGGUGAGGUAAAGGCUCACCAAGCCUACGAUCCAUAGCUGGUCUGAGAGGAUGAUCAGCCACACUGGGACUGAGACACGGCCCAGACUCCUACGGGAGGCAGCAGUAGGGAAUCUUGCGCAAUGGGCGAAAGCCUGACGCAGCCAUGCCGCGUGAAUGAUGAAGGUCUUAGGAUUGUAAAAUUCUUUCACCGGGGAAGAUAAUGACGGUACCCGGAGAAGAAGCCCCGGCUAACUUCGUGCCAGCAGCCGCGGUAAUACGAAGGGGGCUAGCGUUGCUCGGAAUUACUGGGCGUAAAGGGCGCGUAGGCGGAUAUUUAAGUUAGAGGUGAAAGCCCAGGGCUCAACCCUGGAACAGCCUUUAAUACUGGAUAUCUUGAGUUCGGGAGAGGUGAGUGGAACUCCGAGUGUAGAGGUGAAAUUCGUAGAUAUUCGGAAGAACACCAGUGGCGAAGGCGACUCACUGGCCCGAUACUGACGCUGAGGCGCGAAAGCGUGGGGAGCAAACAGGAUUAGAUACCCUAGUAGUCC